GGGCCCGCACAAGCGGAGGAACAUGUGGUUUAAUUCGAUGAUACGCGAGGAACCUUACCCGGGUUUGAACGCAUUUUGACAGGGGUGGAAACAUCUUUUCUAGCAAUAGCAAUUUGCGAGGUGCUGCAUGGUUGUCGUCAGCUCGUGCCGUGAGGUGUCGGCUUAAGUGCCAUAACGAGCGCAACCCUUACCGUUAGUUACCAUCAAGUCAUGUUGGGGACUCUAGCGGGACUGCCAGCGUAAGCUGUGAGGAAGGUGGGGAUGACGUCAAAUCAGCACGGCCCUUACAUCCGGGGCGACACACGUGUUACAAUGGAUGGGACAGAGGGCAGCCACUUGGUGACAAGGAGCCAAUCCCCUUAAAACCCAUUCUCAGUUCGGAUCGAAGUCUGCAACCCGACUUCGUGAAGCUGGAUUCGCUAGUAAUCGCGCAUCAGCCAUGGCGCGGUGAAUACG
rnacentral:rRNA from 1 species